GUUGCCCUCUGCUGUGGACUAGUUGUACAUCCCCUCCUCUCCUGAUUUCGAGCACCUGAAUUCUUUUGUAGGGGGUUACACCACAGAUGGGCCCCCCAGAUGACAUUCGUUUUGACCUUCCGCCUAAGAACCUGUCUAGGCUAAAAAUAGGUUCUUAUUACCAGUUUAUGUUUGUAUUCUUAAUACCGCAAAAAUCUCAAAAUACUAAAAUUUACCGAUUUCAUUAACAGGGCGGACACUACCAGGCCACCUUUUCCGACCUUUGUUUGGUAGUGUUGUGCCCAACCCUUGCUGGAGACCCAGAAGUAAGGGCCACUAUUGACUUAAGCAAUGUUACCCAGGAUCGCAUACAAGCUGCUGUAGCAGAGGCUGAGGCGAGACUGGCCCUUACAACCGAAUCAAUGUGAGUUUUGUUGAUUGUCUUGAAUCACCAUCACCAUCC